UACGGGGGGGGCUAGCGUUGUUCGGAAUUACUGGGCGUAAAGGGCGCGUAGGCGGUCUUGCAAGUCCCGUGUGAAAUCCCUCGGCUCAACUGAGGAACUGCACGGGAAACUGCUUGGCUUGAGUUCGGGAGAGGGAAGCGGAAUUCCGGGUGUAGCGGUGAAAUGCGUAGAUAUCGGAAGGAACACCAAUGGCGAAGGCAGCCGCCUGGGCCUGAUCUGACACUGAGACACGAAAGCGUGGGGAUCAAACAGG
rnacentral:rRNA from 1 species